rnacentral:rRNA from 1 species
CAGCAGCCACGGUAAUACGGAGGAUCCAAGCGUUAUCCGGAUUUAUUGGGUUUAAAGGGUGCGUAGGCGGCCUAUUAAGUCAGGGGUGAAAGACGGUAGCUUAACUAUCGCAGUGCCUUUGAUACUGAUGGGCUUGAAUACACUUGAGGUAGGCGGAAUGUGACAAGUAGCGGUGAAAUGCAUAGAUAUGUCACAGAACACCAAUUGCGAAGGCAGCUUACUAAAGUGUCAUUGACGCUGAGGCACGAAAGCGUGGGGAUCAAACAGGAUUAGAUACCCCCGUAGUCCCUGUCUCUUAUAC